GGUUGAUCCUGCCAGUAGUCAUAUGCUUGUCUCAAAGAUUAAGCCAUGCAUGUCUCAGUGUAAACUUUUAAACAGUGAAACUGCGAAUGGCUCAUUAAAACAGUUAUAGUUUAUUUGAUACUCAACUUUACAUGGAUAACCGUGGGAAUUCUAGGGCUAAUACAUGCGUAAACCCGCAAGGGAUGUGUUUAUUAGAUUAAAACCAUCACUGUAGCAAUACAGUCUAUGUGGAAUAAUAAUAACCGAUCGAAUCGCACAUUUAUUUUGCGAUAAAUCAUUCGAGUUUCUGAC
rnacentral:rRNA from 1 species